GUUAUAUUUCCAUUACUUGGGUAUCAACAACUCUUUUCAUUUUUUGCUGGUACUAGGAAUUGAAUCCAGGGGUACUUUACUACUAAGUAUAUCCCCAGUCUUUUUUAUUUAUUUGUUUCUUUACAGAUUCAUUUUUGUGGUACUGGGGAUUAAACUCAGGGGAGCUCUACACCUGAGCUAUAUCCCCAGUCUUUUCUAUUUUUUAUUUGGAGAUGGUGUCUCUCUAAAUUGCUGAGCUAGCCUCCAAUUUGUGAUUUUCCUGCCUCAGCUUUCUCAGUAGGUGGGAGUACACGUGUGCUCCACAGCCUUGUGCACCUGACAAGGCCUUUGUAACUCCUUACCGACCAGCUGUAAACUGAGGUUCCCAUAACUCCCUGUGUUCUAAAAAUUCGCUAGAGCUGCUCAUAAGACUCAAGGAAACAUGUUCACUGGUUUAUUAUGAUGGAUAUCAGAAAGCACACCAGUAAUCCAAGCAACUCAGGAGGCUGAGGAAGGAGGAUUGCAAGUUCCAAGUCGACCCUGGCAAUUUAGCAAGACCCUGUUUCAAAGUAAAAGAUAAAAAUGGGCUGGUUUUGUAGUUCAGUGGUUAAGCACCCCUGAGUUCAAUUUCCAGUACAGGGGUUGGGGAGGAGGAUAUUAUAAAGUUUGGUGCUGUGGCACAUGCUUGUAAUCCCAGCUAGGAAGGCUAGGAAGAUCACAAGUUCAAAGACAGCCUCAGCAAUUUAGAGACCUUGUUUCAAAAUGAAAAAUAAAAGGGCUGGGAUGUAGCUCAGUGGUAGUAAGCAUGAUUGAGUUCAAUCCCCAAUACUGGGGGGGUGGGGGUCUGAAAGGGAAAGAUAUCACAAAGGAUGCCCCUGAAGAAAUACAUAGGGUGAGGUAUGGAACAAGAGGUACAGAGCUCCCAUGCCACCCCAGGUGAGCCACCCUCCAGGAAUCUCCACAUGUUUUGCUAUCCAGAGUUUCUCAAAACCCUAUUCUUUUAGAGCUUUAUGUAGGCUGCAUUGUGCAGGAGUAACUGAUCAGAUCAUUAGUCAUUUGUGAUCAAUUUAACCUUCAGUCCCCCAGAAGUUGAGGGUGAGGGCAAAAGUUCCAUCAGCCUAUGUCUUUCCAGUGACCAGCCCUCAUCCUGCCACUACCUAAGGGCUGCUAGUCAACAGUCAAUUCCAUUGCAUACAAAGAGAUACUUAUAACUUUGAAGAUCCCAAGGAUUUUAUUUAUUUAUUUAUUUAGAUACCAGGAAUUGAACCCAGGGGUGCUUAACCACUGAGCCACAUCUCCAGCCCUUUUAUUUAUUUAGAGA
rnacentral:lncRNA from 1 species